rnacentral:lncRNA from 1 species
ACUUUUGAUGGUCAAGUGUUUUGGAACUUGUACUCGAAUUGAAUAUUGUACGGUGAGAUAAGUUGAUGUGUGUAUUAAUGGUAUUAUCUAAUAUAAACAUAGGAUUGGACAUAUAGUUGUGUCAAUGUAUUGUGUAAUUUAACUACCUCUAGAUAAUAUUAUCGUUUGUGUAAUGAUUGUAAUUGAUGUUUUGUUGGAGGAUCCUUUAGUAUGCUUAUAAAAAGGAUUCAAGUGUGUUGUAACGAGCAGAGCUCUUCUAAGUCUAGUCCAUAAAUAAAUAAAAGAGUUGACUAUAAUGUAAUAUUGUGGGGUCUUCUACUGUGUCUAUAAAAGGAUCCAAGUGUGUUGUAAUAUGAGUAGAGAUUCAUGAAUUUAGUCUAUAAAUAAAUUAAACAAGUGUUUUAUAUAGUCCUUUUAUGAACAUGUAUGGUCUCAUUUCCUUCAUAAAGCAAUGUAUAGCCGUUGUGACAAAAUCUUAUUACUCAAGUUUACUCAUGAAUCCUUUACACAAAUGUUACAAAUGUAUAAUAACAAAAUUGAAAAGUCAUUUUCACACGUUACAAAUAUAUACUAACAAAAUUGAAAUAACAUUAUUACAAAUUAGAACAAUAUGUAAUAACAAAAAAUAAAUAAAUAAACUCGAGGCUUGUAAAGUUAAUAGUUUAUUUAAAACAAAUUAGAACAAUAUGUUUUAUAUAUUACUGGUGAAGAUGAAGAAGAGAUUCGAAUAACAAGAAAUAACUUAUUAGUUCGCUUCCAGAUGAAAAAGCUUGGUCAGCUUAAGCACUUCCUUGGUCUAGAAGUUAUCGAAUAGAAGAAGGGAUAUUUCUUUACCAACAAAAUUAUGCCAAAGACUUGCUGAAGAAGUUUGAAAUGAUGGAAUGAAAACUAAUCUCAACUCCAUUGGAAGUAAAUGCAAAAUUGUGCACACACGAAGGUAGAGAUUUACAAUAUAGAACAAUGUAUCAACAAUUGGUAGGUAGUUUAAUCUACCUUAUGCUGAAUCAACCGAAUAUUUCAUAUGUCGUAGGUGUCAUGAGUUGGUAAAUGCAAAAUCCAAAGAAGCUUCACUUGGAAGUAGUUAUGUGAAUACUAAGAUAUGUGAAGAGUACAAACAAUUAUGGUUCAUUGUGCAAGAAAGAUGAAAUUACAAGCUGACUAGCUAUUGUGACGCUGACUACGCCGGAGAUCAUGAUACAAAAAGAUUAACUACUAGGUAUGUUUUCAGAAUUAGGUCUGGAGUAGUUUUUUAGUGUAGUAAGAGACAACCAACUGUAUCACUAUCAACCACAGAGGUAGAGUAUAAAACAACAAUGAUGACAUCUCAAAAAAGCACUUGGUUGAUGUAGUUGAUCAAGGAUCUACACCAACUAGUAGAUUAUGUAUGCAAUACCACUGUAUUGCGAUAAUCAAUCGAUAAUCAACUUGGGAGAAAAUCUAGUUUUCCAUGCAAGAACUAAGCAUGUAGAGGUCCAUUAUCACUUCAUCAGGGAAAAUGUCUUACAAGAUAAAGUUGAGAUGCGGUACGUCAAGACAAACAAUUAAGUUACGGAUUUUUUUUUUUAUAAAAAGUCUUUGUACCAUGAAGUUUAAAAAGUUUCGUCAGCAGCUCAAUAUGGAUCGAAUGAUGAAACUUGGUUUUGAGGGGGAGUGUUAAAAGUGCAACACCAAUUUUAUGAUCCAAUUAAAUAACAUUUGUCCAAAUCCAAGUUCAUAACUCAAUCCAUAGAAGACUUAAGAAUUGUGUAGAGAACAUGGGACAUUUCUAAUCUAAAAAUAUUUAAUGAUGAUGAAAAUAUCUUAUUUUAGAAAUCUCUUGAACGGUGAUAUUUAUAAAAUGUGAUUGUUAAAUUUUUAUAAUUUAAUGUUUUGUGUGGUUUGUAUUAGUUUUAGGAUACUAUAAAUACCGCUAAACUCUUUGUUGUAGGCAUCAAGAGAGGAGUGAAGAAUUAGUAGGAAGAAAGAAGAGUGAGCCGUGAGUAUCGUAGUGUUUUUCUUAUAAAAUAUCAAUAAAAUCCUUUAAUUUAGUAAAAUUCUUCUAUUUCUUAAAUAUUUUCAGUCUUAAGCAGCUUCGUCCUUCUUUCUCAACAAAAGCAUUCCAUUUAGUAUAUGAAAAGAAAGUUGUGAGUUUGUGAAGAGAGAAUAAUUAGAAUAUCUUUUGCAAUUGUUAUUUUCCCAAUUUUAAGUAACAGAGUUGCUUUCUCCUAGUAUAAGAGAGAUUGUAAUUGUUCUAUCCUUGUAUUCAAAGAAAAUUGUUAUAAUCCUCAUUUGAAUAGUGAAUUCUUUCUACUUUUGUUGUGGAUUUUUAACCCGGUUUAUUUGGAAUUUUUUCCACUUAAAAUUUGUGUGUCCCAUAUAUCUUCAUUUGUUCUUAAUAUCACUUUGGUUUCGGUCUGAUACGGUCCUUAAUUUCCUAAUAGAAAACAACCGAAACCAUCCAAUAACGAGAGUGAUCUCUGAAAGCUCCAUUGCAGAACAUGGAUAACCGCUGCUUCGGCCAUCUGUAUUAACUUUUACCCAGCCAUGCACUAUCGGGCAAAUUUUAGCAAAAUAUUGAAAAUGAGAGGUAUAACCAACUUGUAUUAGAUGAAAGGAGGAUGGGGUGUUUUCAUAUCGUAGCUCUGUCACGGCAUCGAUGUGAAGAAGAUGAGUUGGUCAUGUCUAAUUAACAAAAAAAAAAAAAAUCCUUUCUGCUAAUCCCAAUUUCAAAGCUUUCUUGUGUCGGACUUUAAUUCUAACUUUGUAAUAUCACACUUUCAAUGGUUAUUUUACCUUUAUAUUCACUAUUGACUUAUAGGGGUGAAAUGAAUAAUUAAAACUCUAUUAUGGAUAUAAAUAACAAAAAAGAAAUUUAUGUGUCGCGGAACUGGUACUCAUAUGAAAAUAACAUUUGACAAUAUCGAACCAUUGGAGCACUAAAUAAAUUAUAGCAUUAUAUAAAAGGGGAUUUGAAUACAUGCUCAUGUUAUGCCCUACGGACUUUCUUUUGUAUUUGUUGGCAAAAAUUUGCAGAUCGUAGAUAUUUGCCCCUAAGGUAACAAAACUGCAAAAGCAUUUCGUGGGUAACAAGUAGUCGGGCUUUUAUCUAGAAUAUCUUUAUUCUUCCAUACCAAUAAAUCACUUAGAUUUUAUGGGCUACGGAUGGAAAUUGUUAAAUUCAUUAUUUAUAGAGUUUGUAUUUUAUGGCAAGUCUAGUUAAAUUAGAAUUUUAUUUAUUGUAUAUUUUGUAAUAGUGAUUAAUUUAUUAAUUCCCUAAUUUAGUGAGAUUUCAAUUUAUUAAGAAUAUUUAUUUCCUAAUUUAAUUAGAUGGCUAACUUAAAAAGUCAAUUAAUGAUGUGAUUCUAUAAUUGGCGCAUGAGCUCUAUUUUGAGUAUGAAGUCAGUUCAAACAUGAAGUUUAUUAAAUGAUUUAGAUAUUUCUUGGAAGACAAGCAAUGUAAGAAAAUUAGAUUUAUUCCUAUUCAGAUUCAUAGGAAUUAUAAAAGAAAAUAAACUCUUAUUUGGAAAGAAUCAAAAUCUUUUAAGAGUUAUUAUUUUUGUGAAAUCCUAGUGCCUAUAUAAAGAGAGGUAUUUCACAAUUGAAGGUGUGCAACACGGAGCAUAAAGCAGGGACGCAAAAUUCGGCAUUCUCCCUAAAGAAUCCUAAUUUGGCACAUAAUAUUGUGUUGAUUUAUUUACUUAUCUUCUUUUCAUAUUUGUGUAGAGUCUAUGUGAAUUUUGGAUCACUAGACAUUAAAAAAUUAAAUAAUUGUUAUUGAUCACUUUGCGAAGUGCGUUAAGUAUCGUGGAUCAAGAGGGGUAGUAAUUAUUUAAGAAAAGCAAAUUCAGUCUGUACAAUGAUAAACUGUAAAUGAGAGUUUUAAGUUUGAUAAAUCUAUGGUUGUAACAUCUCAACUUAGUGAAUUACUUUUCAUCUGAGCUUGACCUCGUGGAUGUAGAAUUAAUUAAUCUGAAUCACGUAAAAAUCUCCGUACCAUUUAAUUUCUGUAAUUUAUUGUAUUUUUGAAAAAUUAAUAUUUUGAUGCGGAUAAACAAUAACCGUAAACAUUAACUAUAAACAAUAAGCGUAAACAAUAAUGAUGAAUAGUAAUGGUAAACAAUAUUUCCGAAAGUUAAUUAAGUUGUUAAUUUUAAAUUUUUAAUUACCUACAUCUAAAUUGCCUACAUUUAGUGCAAUUUUGAAAGGUAUUAAAUUGGCAGCGGACUUGGGGUUUCUUCCGCUACUGAUAGAGUCCGAUUCAGUUAAUGUCAUUAGUCUCAUCUCAGGAAAAAUUAACAGCCAAUUAGAGAUUGAUUGGCUAAUAUCUGAUAUUAAAAGUUUUAUUUGUAAGAAAAGUGUUUGCUAUAAGACACAUUCCCAGAUCCGGUAAUUCAGCAGCUCACAAAGCUGCAAAAAUGGCUCUUGAUCAUGCUGAGUCGCGCACAUGGUUACAGGAUGCGCCUCCUGACAUUGUACCUCUCUUGUAAUGUUAUGGUGUAAUCAAUGAAAAUUUUAUUGUAAAAAAAAAAAUCCUUUCAGAAAUUAAUAUAUACUAUUUUAAUGUGGAAAAUCCCUUCAGAAUUAGUUCGAUAAAUACAAUAUUCAUCCAGUUACCGCAGGCUAAUAAUGCUCAUCCUGGAUAACUCAUGUCGCUUUUUACAUAUGCUGUAAUCUAAUUGGUGUGAUUAUCUUUGUAGCCCUACCUUCUCACUUGGCCAGAAUCGAGGUUAUAUAUGGUCAUGCAAUUAUACAUGAAAAAAGAAUAUCUUUCCAGUAGUUCAUUUUCCCUUUCACAUAGAGCGUACUGAGGAUAUAUAUAUCGGAAACCUGAGAAAACUAAUGAGAUAUUUGAAGGUUAAAGGGGAAGCCGGCUCCGUUAUUAAAAGCAAACUUCUUUAUUUAUUUAUAGACUAGAGUCAAGGAGCUUCACCCGUUACACACUUGAAUCCUUUUUCUAGGCACCAUAAAGGAUCCCAACAAUUAUACAUUACAAGUCAUUACCUUUAUUUAUAGACCAGACACAAGGCGCUCUGCCCAUACAACAUACUUGGAACAUUUUUAAAGGCACACUAAAAGACCAUCCACAACAAAACAUUGAUUCGAUCAUUACACUGGAGGUCGCCUUUUCAUCGGAAAUUGAGAUUUACCUUACCAAGAGGUAAUAUCAACGUUACACAAAACAUGACAUAUAACAAUGUCUAAUCUUAUAUCUAGAUUAGAUUACACAGUACACACCAGCUUAAUUAUCUUACAGUAGUAUUCAAUUGGAAUACAAAUGCCAAUACACUUUACCAUCAAAAGUAUGAUCAGAAUCCAGAACAUUUCCAUGAGGUACCUCUAUAAGAUUAAUCUGCAAAACAAGAGAACCUCCUUCCUGCACAUGACGAUCUUUAUACAGUUCAUCUAAUUGAACCAUAGUUCUAAGGCCAUGAAUAGGACGAUUUUUAUCAAUAGGCCUAUAACCAUUAGUAUAACCAGAUGCAACAACAUCAAAAGAUACUUCAGCAUCCAUAUUAUUGGCGGCUGCAGGAGGCAGAUCUCCUCUCCAAGCAUCCUCGUUAGCUCUGGGAACAAAUAGGACGGCCCAGGAAACAAUAGGAGCCCAACUUCGACCAAACAAACCAAAAUCCAUCCUAUUCAAGUCCUUCAAAACACCAGGAUCUGCAUAACGCAGAAAAAAGUAGUCUGAUUUAAAACCUAUCAAUUUUCGCUGAUCACACGCCAUAUCUUCCGUGAUUAAUGAAAAAUAAGCGCUCAGAAUCAGAUCACUUGCCUCAGAAAUUAUUUUCGUUGCUCUGUCACUCUUUUUUCUGCUGCCGUCCAAAGACAUUUUCACGUCUAUUUAUGCAAGGGAGGAAUUCGAACACAAACAAAUCACAAAUAAUUAUUAAUUAAUUAUAAUAGGACUCUUAAUUAAUGCAUUCCAGCAUCUCCUUCUGCAACGUGUCUGGCGACGUGGUUUUGUCUUCGUCUGUGCUCCGCCUUUCAUUUCUUGGAUAUCUUCAUCAUAGGUAUUAGAGCCAAGUUAAGGUUAGGUAGAUGAUACAAGUCCUCUUCAAAAGGAUUUUGCUAGUAUUAGAGCCUAGUAAUGUAAGAUAUAAUCUCUCGUAAAAUUGUGGGCCUAAGUGGAACCUAUAACUAAAUUUGUAUGAGACUGUACCUUACAUUACACGCUUCCUUUAACAAUUGACACAUGUUAAUUAAUGCAUUCCAGCAUCUCCUUCUGCAACGUGUCUGGCGACGUGGUUUUGUCUUCGUCUGUGCUCCGCCUUUCAUUUCUUGGAUAUCUUCAUCAUAGGUGUUAGAGCCAAGUUAAGGUUAGGUAGAUGAUACAAGUCCUCUUCAAAAUAGCUCUCUGUCACAAGUGGUUCCGGUACGUAGAUCCACGUCUUCUUUUGCAGCGUGGUUUGGCCUUUUCAGUUCUUCUCAUUCUUUGAUUUCUUCGAAUAGUUAUCUACAUCGUGUUUACAGGUUGGGUAAGACUAAGGAUUGGGUUCGCACAGUUCUAAUAUUUUGAUUGGACCAUCCUGCAUCUAUCUCUUAUUUAGUUUAGCAUGACUUAUUUAACAUCAUAAAUAUUUAUUUAAUUUUAUAAUUUUUUAAAUAUUAAAUAAAUUAUUUUUUUAUUAGUAAAAUUUUAAAUUUUGAGUUUUUGAAAAUAGAUUGAAAAAUAUUUUUAAACUAUUAAAAUAUUAUUUAUUUAUUUAAUUAUUUUAUUUCAUUUACUUUAUAACAUAAAUUUAAAAAAAUUACCUAUUAAAAAAAUUUAUAAUUUCUUAAUAAAAACUCUUAUUGAUAGUCAAAUACCUUAAAGUUUUAGUAAAAGUUUGCUUGUAAAAGAUUUAUUAACAAAAGUUAUGCCGAAAUAAGUUUUAUUUGAAAAAUUAUAUCAAGGCUUGAUUUGGUAUCAAAAGAAAAUUAUCAUACACUUAUAUUUUUAUAUUAUCAUUUAAAACUGAAGAGAAGAGUAAAGAAAGAUCAAACCAGAGUGAAGAAGGGUUAACAUAAAAUGAAAGAAAAGCCUCGGGCAUUAUACUAUGAUUUGGGAGAAUGAUGCGUUAUUUAGUUUUGGUGGGUGUAAAAGGAAAACGAAGCUUAAUAAUAUGAGCUUAAAACUCAAUUAAAAUGAGUUUAAUGAAGGGUGGUUUUAGCAUUUUAAAGUGCGAUCAUAGUUAAUUUUAAUUUUUGUAAUUUAUUGAAUAAACUAUUUGCAAUGAAUUAAGAAAAGUAAUCAAUAAUUAUAACAAUAAAAGUAAUUAUUAUUGAAACGACCCACCUCGAACUUCAAGAGCAAAUCUAUCUAAUUUCUUUUAACGUGAUUAGUAAAACGUAUUUGCUAAAAUUUUCCAACAUGCAAAUCUGCAAAACAAACACUUUCAAAAUAAUUCAAUACACAACAAAAUUCAUUGAUCAACCUUCUCAACCAUGAUAUUGAAUAUCACCUAAACACUUAUAAAGUAUCAAAAGAUUAUAUUAUAGCUAAUGUCAACAUAUAUUAAACAUUCAUAAGCAUCAAAUCAUAAUACAAUUAUACAAUCCAAAAUGAGAUGAUCUAAAUGCCCUAAUAAUAUCAUUUAUAUCUUUUAGCACCAUCACGUGGCCAAAAUUCAAAAAUACUACAGUCGUUGGGUCGAUUAAUGUAUCCACAACCUUCUGUGGGGGAAAAGUAUAGUAAAAUGGGAUGAAUAUAAAACUCAAUGAGUGAAUAAUAACUUUUGAAAAUAAUAUAUUUUAAAAUAUUUAUAUAUUUUCAAUAUACUAUUUUCAUCAAACUAUAAGUAAGAACAUAGAUGAAUUAUUCGAACUUUAAAUCAAACAACUGUCGUUUUAAUUUUAAAGUGUGAUCGUAGUAAAUUUUUAUUUUGUUAAUUUAUUGAAUAAACUAUGUACAAUCAAUUAAGAAAAAUAAUCAAUAACUAUAACAAUGAAAGUAUUGAUUACUGCAACGACCCACCUCAAACUUUGAGGGCAAGUCUAUCUAAUUUCUUCUAACGUGAUUAGUAAAACUUAUUAAUGAGGAUUUUGCUAAAAGUUCAUCGACAGAGUCUCCCCCUAUAUUUAUAAAAUUUCUAACAUGCAAAUCUAAACACUCCCAAAAUAAUUCAAUACACAACUUGAAAUACUAACUAGGCAACCCAAGAGGGGGGGUGAAUUGAGAUUUUAUAAAUUAAGUUAAGCAAACACACAACAAUUCAAUCUAAUGCCUCAAUAAAUUCGAAAACAAUAAAUUCAAUGAAAGCACAAUAAUAAAUGAGCAAGGGAAGAGAAAGCAAACUCAAUGAUUUUUACGUGGUUCGGCAAUCCCCGCCUACGUCCACGCCUCUUAGCAUUUUCAUUUUUGAGCUCUACCAUUUUCUUUUUAAGACAUGCAUUCUUUUUACCAAUUUUCAUACACUCAUCAUGCAAUUCUUUAAAAGUAUCAUGUAAUUCAUCAUAAGUAGGAAGAUCAUUUACCUAAUCAAGUUCAUCAUUCGAUUCAUCUCCAAUUGCCAUAAGAGCUAGAUUUGUCAUUUCUUGAUGCUCUUCAUCAUCACUUGUUUCCUCCUCGCUAUCAUCCCAUGUGGCUACCAUCGCUUUCUUCUUGAGCUUGUUGAGAAGAGGGCAUUCCGAUCUUAUAUGGCCAGGUUUCUUGCACUCAUAACAUUUGAUUACUUCAUUCUUCUCCUUUUGGUUCUUGAGGUCUCUAAAUUUUCUUCGCUCACUGGAUUUCUUAAAAAAAUUUCUAAACUUCCUAGCCAGCAUAUCCAUCUCCUCCUCAUCCAGCUCGCUUUCCUCAUCACUCUCAUAUUUCGAGGCUUUGAGAGCAAUACUUUUCUUCUUCUCCUCAUUGCCUUUUUCGGCUGCCAAGUCUUCCUCAUAAGAAAUAAGAGAACCAACUAAAUCAUCAAUAGGUAAGAUAUUUAAAUCUUUGGCUUCCUCAAUGGCAGUCCUUUUUUGUCUCCAUUCCUUACAUAGCGACCUAAUAAUUUUCUUAACUUUCUCGCUAUUUGAAAAAGUCUUUCCUAUGGCUCCUAGAGUGUUCACUAUGUCCGUAAAUCUAGUAUACAUAUAAUACACACUCUCAUUUUGUUCCAUUUGGAACAAUUCAUAUUGUCGAGUGUACCUACUAAUUUUAGACUCUUUCACUUGAUUCGUGCCUUCAUAAACAACUUCAAGUUUGUGCCAAAUUUCAUUAGCACUCUCACAACUAGAUACUCUAUGAAAUUCUUUCUUAUCUAGUGCACAAAACAAGGCAUUCAUAGCUUUGGAAUUUAGAGUAGCUUUUCUCUUUUCUAAUUCAUUCCAUUCCCGUGAAGGUUUUGGAAUAUCUUCCCCGACUUCAUUUUUAGUCAAAGGCAUAAAAAGACCAUCACAAACAACUUCCCAAAUUUCAUAAUCAAGUGCUUGUAAAUAAAUUCUCAUCAUAGUUUUCCAAUACGGGUAGUCAUUUCCGUCAAAGAACGGUGGUUUAAUUGUGGACUGUCAUUCUCUAAAGGUUGAGUCAUUAUGGGUUGCCAUAGAUCUUUAACUCUAGACGGUUAAGUCUAAACAAGAGCACCUCGCUCUGAUACCAAAUGAAAUACUAACUAGGCAACCCAAGAGGGGGGUGAAUUGGGAUUUUAUAAAUUAAGCUAAAAAAACACACAACAAUCCAAUCUAAUGCCUUAAUAAAUUCGAAAACAAUAAAUUCAAUGAAAGCACAAUAAUAAAUGAGUAAGGGAAGAGAAAGCAAACUCAAUGAUUUUUACGUGGUUCGGCAAUCCCCGCCUACGUCCACGCCUCCAAGCACACCGGGUUUGAGGAUUUCACUAUUCGAGCCUUUCCAAUGCUUCAAUCGUUUACAAUUGACUUCAAGGUGUCAAUGAACCUUUAAAACAAGAGAUUAUCUCUCCAAUCUCUUCACCCCAAGUGUUUCUCACACUUGUACACUCACAAUUUGAUGAGAAAUAAAAAUUACAACAAUGAAACUCUCUUUAAGAGUGGAUAUACAAAUUGAAGAACAAAGAUGAUUUAAUAAAUGAUGAUUUACGAAAUUGAAGCUCAAUAUAUGUUGUGUGCACUUGUUUUUGCUUGCCAAGAUUACCAAAAAUGAAUUGGUUUUGAGUUUAUAUAGUUUGAGCUCAAAAACUAGUCGUUAUGCACUUUUUGGUCAUAACCGGCUUAUUGUUUAUGGAAUCCGGUUAGCCGCUUGUAUGUUACCGUUACAGCCAAAAUUUAAAUUUUUGAACAUCCAGUAUGCCGCUUAUAAAAUCCGGAUAGCCGUUUAUGCUCUAGAAGCUUACUGCCCAACAACCAUAUUACCGUUUGUCAGGAUCCGGUUAGCCGCUUUCAAUUCGGAUAGAUUCUGCCCAACAUCCGGCUUAUCGGUUUUUCACAUCCGGUUAGCCGCUUGCUACAGUGACUGCUACAGUGAACUAUUUUAUAAAAUUAUAGUUUAACCCCAAAACUUUCCAUAACUGUACUAGGGCCCAACACGUUAUAAAUUUGGCAAAUAGGUCCAAUUUCAGAAUCUCUAAAUAAUAUUUACUAUUCUCAAAACUUUUUAAAAUUAUGAUAUGGCCCAAAAUAAUAUGAAACUGUUCAAAUAAGUCCUUUUCUAAAAUUUCAAGUAAUACUUGUUGAUUUCAAAGUUUUUAAAAUUCUUUCAAUUAAACCAUAAACUUGAAAAGCAACCAAUUUCAUAAAAUCAUUUUUCUAUUAAAUAUGAAACCUUUAUAAUGAGAAAAUAAUGAUUUAUUUAAAAAGUAUAAAAAAUAAUUUGAACUUAAAAGAUUAAUCAUUCUUAAUCUUGUUUGUUAUCAUCAAAAUCAACAUUAUGGAAACAUAUAUGUUAACAAUCUCCUCAUUUUUUAUGAUGACAAACAUUUCAUGUAUUUAAAGAAUGAUUCCGCAAAUUGCUCCCCUAAAUAUAAUCUUCUCUUACAAUUUGCCAAUUAGCUAAAUUAACAGAUUUAAAUAUAUGGAUUUUUCUCCCCCUUUAUCAUUAAAAAGAAAACUUAAUUGGCAAAGAAAAAGAGUAGUAAAUUUUUAUAAAUUUAAAAAUAUGUAUUAUUCUCCCCCUUCAUCAUCAAAAAGAAAACUUAAAGGAAAAGAAUAAGAGUAGCAAAUUUAUUACUCAUGUUUGUCCAAGUAGAAAUUUCAACACAUUCUCCCCCUAACAACAAGCAUUACCUUAAAUAUAAGUUUAGUAAUAUUACUCCCAAAUUAUUAUAAAUCAUGAUACAAGCCAACUCCAUACACAAAUCAUCACACCAAAAUAUCAUGAACCAUUAUUCCAUUAAUUACCAUAUAAAACAACUAUGUAAUUAAUCAUCAUUAUCUCAAAAUCAUUAUCAUAAUCAAAUAUCAAUCAUUAAAAGAAUACUCAAAGUGUAUAUUAUUCUCCUCAUUUUAACAACAUCGAAAUGAUAUAUUACUUUGUCUCCCCCUUUGGACAAUAAAAAAGUUCAAAAUGCAUAUUAUUCAAAAUCAUAUUAUAUGAUCCCCCUAAAUAUAUGACCAAUUUAAAAUUUUAACCAAAAUAAUUUUAUCCCAAAACAUAUCAUAUUUGUCUCCCCCUAUCAAUCAUCAAAACCUCAAAUCAAGCACAUUAGUUCAAAAUUAUCCAAAACAUAAGUAAAGAACAUAACAUAUAACUAUAUCAAAUCCAUAUAAUUCAAAACAGACACAUAAUCCAAAAUCAUAGCAAACAUCCAUAUAAUCCAAAUGCAAAAUAAAAGAAAAAUAAAAUAGUAAAUGUUGGUGUGUUCAAAUACAAGUAUAAAGGAUUUGAAGUGAAAAAUGAUGAGAUUGAUGGAUUUUAGAGAGAUCUUGCGUGAGAGAGGAAGCGAUUUUUAGUGAGAGAGUAACCGAUUGACUGAAUGAAGGAGAAGAGGAUGAACAAAAUUUGAAUGCCCGAAUUUGGCUUACCGGAUUUCACUAACCGGUUAGCCAGUUGGGGUCCAGUGAGUGUACAACCUGAAUUCGGGUUUCCGGUUUACAUAACCGGUAAUUCGGUUAACUCCUGUGAUGAAUGGUCACGAAUCCGGUUAUCCGGAUAUUCCUAACAUGUUAAUCGGUUGGAGGCAGCAAGUAAGCAACGCGAAUCCGGUUUGCCGGAUCUCAUAACCAGCUAUCCGAUUGUGUCCAACAAGCAUCAAACUAAAUCCGAUUUUCCGGAUUUCAUAACCGGUUGACCGAUUCUUUCCAGAAACCAAAUUCUCUUCAAACGAGUUAUUGGUUUUCCAAUCCGGUUAUCCGAAAUAUGACUUAGAGAAUAAUCAAUAAAAAGGAUGGUUUUCCGGUUGAUUAAAAGAGGUUUAUCGGUUAAAAUAUAGAGAAUAUUUUUGAAGUUUAGUAAACUCUUAGACUUGUAUUACACACACCAAUUUAUUUUUAGCUUAAAAAUUGAUCAAUUUUUGAAUCAUUUUGAGAUUCAAAAUUUUUCAAUAAGUCAUUUAAUGCAUGAGACAUAAAUGUAUACAAGACCAAACAUAUGAAAUCGUAUCAAACAAUGAUGUCAAUUUUAUAAAUGAAUGAUGAUAUAAACACAAUUAAUGGCAUAUGAAUUCACACAUAUAUAAGAGAUGGACAAUGAUGAUAGACAAUUAAGAAGAUGAAAUCAAAGACCAUACAAUCAUCAAAAUCAAACAAAGACAUCAUGAUAAAUCACUCAAUGUUAUACACAAUGAUAAUUCCAUCAUGUAAACAUACAAGCAUACUUUCGCAAAUUCAUUUAACAUGAUUCAUUCAACAAAAUUAAUAUGGCAAGAAUUGUUACCAAAACAAUUAAAUCAUCUUGCCUCAUCUUUUUCUCCUAGAUCAUACUCAAGUGAUUAUCCUCACAAGCUUUCAUCAAGGAACUUCUCCACCAUUCCUUGAUUGUGGUACCUACAAAGAAAACAUUCACGUUGUGCCCUUUGGUACCCAAAUACUCUUGGGUCCUUGAGUGUUAGCAAUGGUUCCUUUUGGAACCCAAACACAUUUUACUCCAUAAUAUACUUUUCUUUUAAUAGGACAACCAAGCUUCAUGUGACCGUUUUGAUUACAAUAAUGACAUACAACUUGAUUGUUAAUAGAUGUACUCUUCACAAAGUAGUUCUUAUAAUACUUUUGUUUCAAAUUUGGCUUAUAACCAAGUUCUCCUUUAUCAAACACACAUUUUUGUGAAUUAAUCAAGUUAUCCAACAUCUUUUGUCCAUUUGUAAAUUUUAAAACAAUCUCAUUUAACUCAUUGCUCUUCUUCUUAAGCAUUUCAUUUUCCUUUUUCAAGUCAUCUAUGUGAUAUUCUAUAUGCUCAUGUGAAGUGCUAGGUUUCCCAUUUGAUAAUGCAACUCUAUCAUGCAAUGUUUUAUUCUCUAAUUCUAGGCAUGUAAUCUUUGCACAUAGAGAUUCAUUUUCAUUUUUGAGCUCUACCAUUUUCUUUUUAAGACAUGCAUUCUUUUUACCAAUUUUCAUCCACUCAUCAUGCAAUUCUUUAAAAGCAUCAUGUAAUUCAUCAUAAGUAGGAAAAUCAUUUACCUCAUCAAGUUCAUCAUCCGAUUCAUCUCCAAUUGCCAUAAGAGCUAGAUUUGUCAUUUCUUGAUGCUCUUCAUCAUCACUUGUUUCCUCCUCGCUAUCAUCCCAUGUGGCUACCAUCGCUUUCUUCUUGAGCUUGUUGAGAAGAGGGCAUUCCGAUCUUAUAUGGCCAGGUUUCUUGCACUCAUAACAUUUGAUUACUUCAUUCUUCUCCUUUUGGUUCUUGAGGUCUCUAAAUUUUCUUCGCUCACUAGAUUUCUUAAAAAAAUUUCUAAACUUCCUAUCCAGCAUAUCCAUCUCCUCCUCAUCCAGCUCGCUUUCCUCAUCACUCUCAUAUUUCGAGGCUUUGAGAGCAAUACUUUUCUUCUUCUCCUCAUUGCCUUUUUCGGCUGCCAAGUCUUCCUCAUAAGAAAUAAGAGAACCAACUAAAUCAUCAAUAGGUAAGAUAUUUAAAUCUUUGGCUUCCUCAAUGGCAGUCCUUUUUUGUCUCCAUUCCUUACAUAGCGACCUAAUAAUUUUCUUAACUUUCUCGCUAUUUGAAAAAGUCUUUCCUAUGGCUCCUAGAGUGUUCACUAUGUCCGUAAAUCUAGUAUACAUAUAAUACACACUCUCAUUUUGUUCCAUUUGGAACAAUUCAUAUUGUCGAGUGUACCUACUAAUUUUAGACUCUUUCACUUGAUUCGUGCCUUCAUAAACAACUUCAAGUUUGUGCCAAAUUUCAUUAGCACUCUCACAACUAGAUACUCUAUGAAAUUCUUUCUUAUCUAGUGCACAAAACAAGGCAUUCAUAGCUUUGGAAUUUAGAGUAGCUUUUCUCUUUUCUAAUUCAUUCCAUUCCCGUGAAGGUUUUGGAAUAUCUUCCCCGACUUCAUUUUUAGUCAAAGGCAUAAAAAGACCAUCACAAACAACUUCCCAAAUUUCAUAAUCAAGUGCUUGUAAAUAAAUUCUCAUCAUAGUUUUCCAAUACGGGUAGUCAUUUCCGUCAAAGAACGGUGGUUUAAUUGUGGACUGUCAUUCUCUAAAGGUUGAGUCAUUAUGGGUUGCCAUAGAUCUUUAACUCUAGACGGUUAAGUCUAAACAAGAGCACCUCGCUCUGAUACCAAAUGAAAUACUAACUAGGCAACCCAAGAGGGGGGUGAAUUGGGAUUUUAUAAAUUAAGCUAAAAAAACACACAACAAUCCAAUCUAAUGCCUUAAUAAAUUCGAAAACAAUAAAUUCAAUGAAAGCACAAUAAUAAAUGAGUAAGGGAAGAGAAAGCAAACUCAAUGAUUUUUACGUGGUUCGGCAAUCCCCGCCUACGUCCACGCCUCCAAGCACACCGGGUUUGAGGAUUUCACUAUUCGAGCCUUUCCAAUGCUUCAAUCGUUUACAAUUGACUUCAAGGUGUCAAUGAACCUUUAAAACAAGAGAUUAUCUCUCCAAUUUCUUCACCCCAAGUGUUUCUCACACUUGUACACUCACAAUUUGAUGAGAAAUAAAAAUUACAACAAUGAAACUCUCUUUAAGAGUGGAUAUACAAAUUGAAGAACAAAGAUGAUUUAAUAAAUGAUGAUUUACGAAAUUGAAGCUCAAUAUAUGUUGUGUGCACUUGUUUUUGCUUGCCAAGAUUACCAAAAAUGAAUUGGUUUUGAGUUUAUAUAGUUUGAGCUCAAAAACUAGUCGUUAUGCACUUUUUGGUCAUAACCGGCUUACUGUUUAUGAAAUCCGGUUAGCCGCUUGUAUGUUACUGUUACAACCAAAAUUUGAAUUUUUGAACAUCCGGUAUGCCGCUUAUGAAAUCCGGAUAGCCGUUUAUGCUCCAGAAGCUUACUGCCCAACAAUCGGAUUACCGUUUGUCAGGAUCCGGUUAGCCGCUUUCAAUUUGGAUAGAUUCUGCCCAACAUCCGGCUUACCGGUUUUUCACAUCCGGUUCGCCACUUGCUACAGUGACUGCUACAGUGAACUAUUUUAUAAAAUUAUAGUUUAGCCCCAAAACUUUUCAUAACUAUACUAGGGCCCAAAACGUUAUACAUUUGACAAAUAAGUCCAAUUUCAGAAUCUCUAAAUAAUACUUACUAAUCCCAAAACUUUUUUAAAAUUAUGAUAUGGCCCAAAAUGAUAUGAAACUUUUCAAAUAAGUCCUUUUCCAAAAUUUCAAGCAAUACUUGUUGAUUUCAAAGUUUUCAAAAUUCUUUCAAUUAAACCAUAAACUUGAAAAGCAACCAAUUUCAUAAAAUCAUUUUUCCACUAAAUAUGAAACCUUUAUAAUGAGAAAAUAAUAUUUAUUUAAAAAGUAUAAAAAAAUCAUUUGAGCUUAAAAGAUUAAUCAUUCUUAAUCUUGUUUGUUAUCAUCAAAAUCAACAUUAUGGAAACAUAUAUGUUAACACAACUAACUUCAUUGAUCAACCUCCUCAACCAUAAUACUGAAUAUCACCUAAACACUUCUAAAUUAUCAAAAGAUUAUAUUAGAGCUAAUGUCAACAUACAUUAAACAUUCAUAAUCAUCAAAUCAUAAUACAAUUAUACAAUCCAAAAUGAGAUGAUCUAAAUGCCCUAAUAAUAUCAUUUAUAUCUCCUAGCACCAUCACGUGGCCAAAAUUAAAAAAAAAAAAUACUACAAUCACUGGGUCGAUUGGUGUACCACAACCUUCUUCAGGGGGAAAGUAUAAUAAAAUGAAAUGAGUAUAAAACUCAAUGAGUGGAUAAUAGUUUUUGAAAAUAACAUAUUUUAAAAUAAUUAUUUCUUUUCAAUACACCAUUUUCAUCAAACUAUAAGUAAGAACAUAGAUGAAUUAUUCGGACUUUAAAUCAAACAACUGUCGUUAAAAGAAUACAUGAUAUUAUACAUAAUAUACAAGGAAAUCAUAUCAAAAUAUAAUAUAAAAUACUUGAUUAUGAAAUUGUCACUAAAUAGUACCUAAGUAAAUAAUCUUGUCAUUCUCGCACCUCUUAUCGAUGGUGAAAUGACGUACUAUCUGAGUACUAUCAUGUCCGGAGCUAGAACGAGUAGACCAAUGGCAUGCUAUCUCAUAUAUCUCAUCAUAUCUCCUUAUAUUUCAUGUAAAAAACAAUCCCUACAGGACAAAAACACCCAAGCACACAACCCAAAAUCUUUGUGUAUAUUCAGACGGGACCCAAAGAUCUCUAGCUCAAUUGUAAUCUCUACAACUGAAUCUAUAUCUCUGUAUCUGAAAAUGUAUCUAUAGGGGAGGAGUAUUGUCAAAUGAUUUUGAAAACAAACUCUUAUACACUUGUAGAUAAACAUAUAAUCAUACUUUAAACUUCAUUUCCUUUUUCAUUAACAUACUGUAAAUCUAUUUUUCUUUUCUUUAAAAUACUCUUAUGCGUUUACUCAACAUAGAGAAGCAAAAGUAAUCAUCAAAUACGCUUUAACAAUAUAUUAAUACAUAAAUAAAACUCAUUUAUAAAACCAUUAAAUCAAAACAUUAAACUCUUGUUUCAUAUGCAUGCGUUACUUUACUUAAUUUAAAAAUCAUAAUAAAUUAUAAAGAUGGGUUUAGUAUAUUCCAUUUGCAAUGAUGAUGCUCAAGCUCAACUAUUAUCGACAUCCGCAGAUUGACUCACGUUUAUGGCUCCUCUAAAUUGUGGAACGACAUAAUUACUUUUUUGAAUAUAUGAAAUACAACUAGCUUUAAGCAAGAUAGCUCUCAAUGAAUAUUUAUCCCACAAUGUACAACUCCCGAAACCAUACUUGUAAGAUAAAAAUGACCAUAAUAUACUCAAAGCCAUAAUUUACACCUUAUACCUAAAAUUCCAUACUCCUUAAAUUUUUCAUAUGUUAUAAUACUAAUAAAUCUUCCACAUUAUCAAAAAUCUCAUAAUUAACCAUAACCUACCUAAACAUGAUGCAUAACUAUAAGCUAUUUACAUACCGAAAUGAGGGAACGAUGAGGGCUACGCGUUUCUAGGUGUACAAUGCCUCAUUGGUGCCCUUGUGCAUCUAUAAUAAUCCACUAGUUACAAAACUUAGCUUCGGACAAUCUUUACCCAUUUGUUAGAAACCUUAACUAUAAAUAAAGUAUACAAAUCUUUAAAUUAACUUCAUUCCCAUGAGAUCCAACUUCGAAUAAAGAUAACAUGAUAGAAAUCUUACUUCCUUUGGUGAGAAAAACCAACUUGGAAGCUUGAAUCACUUCCUUCUCACUUAAAUCCCCUCUCUACACUUACAUUUAAAUUCCUCUUUAAUGGAUGUUUUCAAAAGAAUUUAGGGACGGAAACACUCUAGAAUAACUCUCCAUUCCAAGCUUUCCAAGAUCCAAACUCAAACUUUGAAAAAUUUCCCCAUUUUUCUCCUCUUUCCCAUUGCUCCUCUUCUCCUUUUCUUUUUUGCCUUUUUUUUUUCAAAUCAAUACAUAUAAAAUCCAAUGGAGACUAACGGGCUUUCAAGUAAGGGUGGAUGUUCAAAUUGGUAUUUGUUUUAUUCUUUAUUAAUCUGGCCUGGAUUUGAGAUUUUGGAACUAUAAGUGGCUGGUUACUGGGAAAUUUUUGAAAAUGAAAUUGUUGUAACCUAAAUUGGACCCAAACUGAAAUUGAGACCUAAAUUUUCAAACCGAACCAAUCCAAAGUUUGAUCCCAAAUAGAACCGAGUCGAACUAAAUUCGGUUCGGUUCUGUUUGGGUUCAUGUUUUGAACCUAAUUGGGUUGAAUACUCUAACCAGAUCAGGUUGUAACCUAACUGGAACUCGAACAACCCGAAUCGAAACCCGAUAUGCCCACCCCUAUUUUAAAGCCUACAGACCAAUGGAAGAAAUGGAAAGAAAAAAUAUGUUACAGUUAUUAACUUGAUUCUUGGGCAUUAUAAUCUCAAUAUUUAACAUGAUUUUGUUUCUCAUAUUAGUUUCUAUCUUCUGCGUUGAGACCUAGAGUCUUAUUUAUGUUGGCAUCUUGUAAGGGUUGGCAUUCUUAUUGAAUUGUAAUUCAUAAAUUGAAGGCUAUGUUAAUUGGGAGAUUUCUUAAUUUAGUUAUUUUCUUAAAAUUAGGAUUUAAGUCUUUUCAUUUUAAGGAUUUACUUAGAACACAAAGAGUCUAAUUUUGGAAGCAAAUCAAAAUUAAAAAAAAAAAAAAAAGGCUCUCUAUAACUUGUUAUAGAAGUUAUACAUUGAAGAUAGCUCAUCACAAGCAGAAAAAUAGAAUUUUAAGGUCGAUUGCUAUAAAUAGUAUUAGAUGAACAAUAUUAGUUAAUAGUGUCUAUUGAAACUAUUCAUUGAACUUUAAUCUUUAUAGGGUAAACGCUUAUUUAGUCCCUAUAUUUUCACUCAAAUAUAUGUUUAGUCUCACAUUAUAAAAUAUAUCUCAAAAUACUCAUAUAGUUAAAUAUGUUACACUCUUAACCUUUUUUAGUUUUAUGAUAACACCCUUCAAACAACAUUCUUGACAUGAAUUAAGGUAUCUAUAAAAAAAAGUUAAUUAGCAUCUUAACCAAUAAUUAAUUAUUAGCAAAUUAAUUAACAAAUACCACUGUGAAAGAACUAAUAUUUUUGUACUAUUGCAAGAAUCUUACUAAUAAUUAUUUAUAAAUAAAUUAAUAUUAGCCAACUUAAAACAAUGUUUAUUAAUAUCUUUACAACAAUUUUAAUAAUAAUUUUUUUAUAAAAAUUAAUUUACUAAAUUAAUUCUAAAAGUAAAAUAAUAAUAUAAAAGUUUGGAUAAAUUUUUAUGUUACUUUAAAGAUAAAUUUUGGUAAAUUAACAAUUUUUAUUGAUAUCCCAAGAAUAUUGUUGCAAGAGUGUUAUCAUAAAAAGAAAAAAAUUAAGGGUAACAAAUUAAGGGUAGGAAUGAAACAUAUUUGACCUCAUGGGUGUCUUGAGAUGUGUCUCUCUGUGUGUAACACUUAAAUCAAAAUAUAGGGAUUAAAUAAGUAUUUACCUAUUUUAUAUUCAUCCCACUCUUAGACAUACUUUUGGUGUGUUUCGGAUUGAGGUUGAGCAGCUGUAGCUUUUAAGCUACAACACUAAAGUGUUUGGUAAACACUAGCUGAUGUACCUUGAAAGUUAUGUUAAUAUGAUUUUUCACUUGUAUAAUAAAAAAUCUAUUAUAUCUUUAAUGAUUUUUUCAAAAUUAUUAUUUAAAAUUUAUAUUUACUAUAUAUUAUUGAUUUUUGUUUUAUAGUUACAGUUUUGUUUCCAUAGCAGUUGUAGCUUAAAAGUUAUAGCACCUCAAUCUCAAACAGGACCUUUGUUAAUUGGUCUCUCUUCGUUAAUUGGUCUCUUCCAAAAAAGAUGUUGUUUGGAGCAGUUAAGGAAUUUCAUAUCAAGGUUAUGAACAAGAAGACAAAUGGUUCUCGCAAAUUACAUAUGCCUUAGUUGACUGAGAUGGCGGCAAAAGUAAAUUUUCCUACAUAUUAAAAUACUAAAUGUGAUAUAAGAACCAACUAUAAGCAAGUUAAAUUGAUGAUUUGGUAUAAUUACAAUAAUUAUUAUUUUUAAUUGAUCUGUGGGUUGAAAUGACUAUAUAAUCAUUCUUAAGUGCGAGCAUCCAUUUUUUUUUGGGAAAAUGACAAACACACCCCCAACGUUUAGGCAAAGGGAUAAAAAACCUCCUAACGUUUUAAAAAAGACAUUUACACCCCAACUUAUUAUAAUUUUACCAUUAUACCCUUCUAGCAUAUAAAAAAAAUUAUUAGAUUAUCUAAUUUGUCUAUAUAUUGUUAAUAAAAUUAUAAAUAGAAAAAUUGGAUAUUAUUAAAAAAAUUAUAAAUAUACCCUCAUUGCCCAAAUCUUCUAUUUAAAUUUUUAUCAAUAACCAAUUUUCAAAAAAGACAUCUAUACACCUAAAAAAUUAUAAAUAAAUUAUAAUUUUAAAAAUAAAAUUGGUUAUUAAUAACCAAUUUUAUUUAAAAUUUAAACUUUUAUAUUUAACAAUUCUCCACAUGUCAAUCAUUUAAACCUGUACAUUUAUAACCAAUUUUCUAUGUUAUUUAUUAUGGUAUUAAUAACCAAUUUUAUUUUUAAAAUUAUAAUUUAUUUACAAUUUUUUUUAAGUGUGUAGAUGUCUUUUUUGAAAAUUGAUUAUUGAUAAAAAUUUAAAUAGAGGAAUGAUGCAAUGAGGGUAUAUUUAUAAUUUUAUUAACAAUAUAUAGACAAAUUGGAUAAUCUAAUAAUUUUUUUUAUAUGUUAGAAGGGUAUAAUGGUAAAAUUAUAAUAAAUUGGGGGUGUAAAUAUCUUUUUCAAAACGUUAGGGGGGCUUUUGUCCCUUUGCCUAAACGUUGGGAGUGUGUUUGUCCUUUUUCCUUUUUUUUUUUUAAUACGGAUACACUCUUAAACUGUAUAAUUAAAAAAGAUACGUUUUGAAAUAAAUUACAAUAUUGUACUGUUUAAAAGAAUUAAAAACUAACUCUCUUUAAUUUCACAACUUAAAAACGUAGCCAAAAGGAAAUUUUAGGGUGGCGGCAUUGAAAAAAAACACAUAUAUUGCUUAUCAAAUCUAAGAUUAAAAUUCGGAAUUAAAAUUUGAGACGGAUAUAAAAUAUCGUAUAAGUAAUUUAGGAUGCCAUAAAUUCAUACUGGUGUCUAGUUCUAAACUUUAUCUCCAGAUUUCAAACAUUCAUCGCUUUGUGGCCCCUAUUUUCUUUGUUUUUCUAACUUUCUUCCGGUGGCGGAGCCCACCAUUGGAAGAAGUUAAUUUUUUUUUUGACAUUUUUUUCAUUGUCUAGCCCACCACCUUGUUUGACUCUUCUCUGGAAAAAGUUACUUUUUUGGGUUUUUCAAUAUGCUAUAAUUUUUUUACAGCAUCAAUAAUAUUUUUAAUUGUGUAUCAUUAAAUUUAAUUAAUGAUAUAUUUAAUCAAUGGUAUAUAAUAUUUGUAGUAAAAAAAAAUAAUAAACGGUUAUUAAAUGUGUAAGGGGUGGAGAAUUUUAUAAAAUAACUAUGACCAUCCUUAGAGUUUGAAAUAAUUUCACUUAAAUAGCAUAUUUUAUUUAAAAUUAUUUUUCAAUCCUCCUUUAAAUUUGAAUUGUGAUAAUCUUUUUUAAAUAAAUCUUCCAAAAUCUAUUACCAUGAAGUAUAAAAUAUAAUGGUAGGUUAUUUAACACAAAUCAAAUAAAUAAGUUGCAAUUAUAAAAUUUAUAUAUGAUAUAAUAGUAAUAAAUAACACAACUAAGUACAUAUACUUAAGUAAAUGCAUAGUUACAUCAAUAAACUCAUUGUUGAGAUUGCUUGUAACAUAAAAAUUACUUGAUCACACAUGUUUUAAUAAAAUUUAAUAUCGUAUAUUAAAAUACUUAUUAUUUUAUAUAAUAUUAAGGGUCAUUGUAUAAUUAAUCAUGAAGUGUGUAUUAUUUUUAACACCCAUUUAACAUGCUUAUUCUCUGAACUUUAUAUUUAUCUUACAAUUAAUAUCCUUACAUGGUAGGAAUUUUAAGUUUUAUAAGCCUAUAUAUUUUCAUUUUAUUUUCAAAUAUCACUUUGUUAAUUUCAUAAAAGUUAAAUCUAAUAUAUAUUCCUAAUGAGCUUUAGUUUAUGAAUCGUGAAAGAUUAUUUUAUUGAUAUCAUUUGAUUGUAAUUAUAAAAUUUUAUGUUAUUAAGAGUCAUUACUUUUGUUAUGAUAAUUAAUUGUGACUAUAAAUAAAAUAUUGUCUCCAAUAAUAUUUACGCAGGAAAAAAAGUGAACGAAAAUCAUUUGUAUUUUUAGAUUUUUAUUGACAUGGUAGGAAAUUAUCUCAGCCUUAAAACAUUUAACUUUCACAAGCUUGUUUUCAUUUUAUUUUCAAAUGUCACUUUGUUAAUUUCAUAAAAAUUAAAUCUAACACAUAUUCCUAAUUAACUUUAGUUUAUGAAUUAUAAAAAAUUAUUUUAUUGUUAUUCUUUGAUAGUAAUUAUAAAAUUUUUAUGCUACGAAGAGUCAUUACUUUUAUUAUGAUAAUUAAUAGUGACAAUAAAUAAAAUAUUACAUCAAAUAAUAUUUAAUGGACAAAAUGAGGAAAAAAAAUCAUUGUAUAUUUUUAUAUUUCCAUUAUAAAGAUAUGGUUUGGGAUACUUUAACUUAAACUUUUGGCACACUAGUUGAGCAACUAAUAUCUCAUAAUCUAAUGGUUGAUAUUGAAAGUCAAAGCAACAUUUCAUAAUAUUAUAUCUUCCACCAUUGAAUUGCAUGAAAUAAAUAGUUUAAUUUUUUGAUAAAAAUUAAAAUCAAAAUAUUUCUCACUCUAUAGUUAUAUAGACAUAUAUAUUUUUCAAUAAUAAUUGGUGAAUAAAAUAUUUCUCAUUUGUUGUGACUCAUAUAGUAUUAUUAAUAAAACACAUAUAAAAUUGUUUAUUGCAAUGCUUUCUAUUAUCAUUAUUAUUUAGGUAUUAAUGGUUUGUAAUUAAAUUCAUACAAUACAAAUUAUUACAAGACUUUGUGUUAAAUAACCUACUUGAUAUUAUAUUUUAUACUUAAAGGUAACUGAUUUUGGAAGAUUUAUUUAAAAGAGAUUAUCAUAUUACAAAUUUAAAGGAGGGCUGAAAAGUAAUUUUAAAUAAAAUAUACUAUUUAAGUGAAAUUAUAUCAAACUCUAAGGGUAGUCACAAUUAUUUUACAAAAAUUAUCCACCUACUUGAACGGUUACCAUUAUUUUUUAGUACAAAUAUUAUAUACCAUUGAUUAGAUCUAAUGGUUCACAAUUAAUAAAUUAUUGAUGCUGUAAAAAAAUUUACAGCAUCAUAGAGGAACCCUGCUUUUCUAUAUUUUUUUCAAUGUCGAACCUGCCGAGCCCACCAACAUGUUCUCAUUUUUUUUUUUUUUUGGCAAACCCUUACAUACAUUUAAUGUAUCUUACACCAAACAAUGAAUGGACGCCACACCACUCACUGUGUGAGUGGUUAUAAUAUAUAUUAAGGCCAUGUUUGCUUGGGGGUUGAGAAGUGAGGAGAGGAAAAGAAUUUAAUUUUUUUUAUAUUUUCCAUUGUUUUGUUGGACUAAAUUUAAUGGAAUUGAAUUUUCAUUGAAAUUUAAUUUCCAUCAAUUUGAAGAAUUUGUAUUCCUUAUCAAUGACUAAGGAUAUCAAAUUUCUUAUCUAUUUAAACACAAAAAAUCUAAUAUUAUCCUCUAAACAAAAUCAAUUUUAAAUAAAUGAAAGUAUAAAUAAUUUAUAUUUAUUUUAUUAAAUUAAUAGGAUAAAUUUAUUUGAUAAAAGAAAAAACAGUAAAGUGACUCACCGGAAAGUCACCGAAGACACGCUGGAGUUUCGCCGAAGACGCGUUUUUCCAUCAAAACCGGUACCAAUAGAAUUCUCAUGAGCCGAUCUACAACUUUAUGGGGUUAGAAAUGCUAAUAUACAUUGUUAUUUACCUCAAGUCUUGUUUAAAUACUUGAGAAAAUUUUAACUCAACUAUAUAGUGUAUUUUCUUCAAAAUUAACAUUUCCAAUGAGUAAAUCGUCCAUUUUUUUUAUCAUUAUUAUGUAUUUAACACGAUGAAAAAUGGUAGUCAACUAUGGUCAACGGCGCCGGUCAAUGACGAUCAACAGAGGUCAAUGCGGCAGCUGUUCAUGCCCAAAUGCUGUAAUUUUUUAAAAUAAAUUUUUUUAUUUAAUUAAGUAAUUUUUAGAUUAAAUUAAUUCAUAGUUUAAUUAUGUUUUAAUUUAUUAACAAUAUUAACAUUAAAGAUAGUGGGUAUAUUUGUCCAAAUAAGAAAUAUGUAAUUUCUUUUUCUUUCAAAUUUUAUGUGAAACCAAAUAAUAACAAUUAAUUUUUGCACUCUUUUCCUCUUAUCUCAUCUCUAUUCCUCACAUUUUUUCUCCUUUCGUCUCCUCCCCUUUUUUAAAACAACACCACAUAAAUGUAUGUUAGAGGAAUCUUUUUUAUUUUAUUCAGCCUUUGAUUUCCUUUCAUCGGUGGGGUAGGUACUUUUAAAAAGAAAAUUAUACUUUAAAAAUAUUUUCAACAUUUAUUUUUAAUUAAAUAUUAUAUUAUCAAAUUACUCUUUAUGAAAUUUACCGUUAUAGACAAUCAAAAUUACUAGAUAAAAUUUUAUAAUUGUGUCAAAAAAAAUCGUUUUUUAAUUUUUUUUCAUUUUAAUUUUCUCCUCGACUUCACUGGUAAAUAUUUACUCUAAAAAAGGGUGGCUGUUAAAACAAAAAUAAAUAAAUAAUUGGGCAUUGGUUUGGAUAAGAUGGACAACAUUUAUUGGGACUCUAUAUCAUUGGGCGGUAGAACUUGGAGGUUGGACCGUUGCACUUUUAAUAAAUUAAUCUGUAAGCAGUUUUUUUUUUUUUAUUGGCUGAUAUAUAACAAUCAGAGCUCUACUAAUAUAAUCAGACGUCAAUCGGGUACUCUUCUCAAUAAUCAUAUUGUAGCACAGCUCGAAUAUCGACUCAUCGUUUAAAGCUGAAGGGAGAUCUACCAUCACUAUUAAUACCGGAGGGGAAUCAAUUCUACCCCAGUGUGGGGAGAAAAAAACAACGUCCAAGUUCUCAAUAAUUUUAGUGGGAACAAAAGUUCAGUUCAUGACCAUGAAAUUAAUCGGAGUUGUUCCGAUGGUUACCGCAAGAGUGUUGACGUUUGAAGAAAGAGAGCUUGGGCAAAAUAAAUUAAUUUUAGGGUAACUUUGGGAUUUUGAUGAGCGUGUAUAGUAAAAAAUUAUAUUUUAAAUUUGACAGUGUAUUGAGUAAAUGAGUGUCUAAAAUAAUAUUUAGAGUAUAAAUAAUCUCACCUAAAAAAAUUAUUUACUUUAAUAAAGACACAAUAAUUUACGUGAUUCGACUUAAAAUCUACAUUUACGAGCAAAAGCUAAAAAUAACUUCAUUAAUAAAUAAAAAUUUACCAAAUUAAGAAAAAAUACCCUCAAAACUCAAAAUCCCAAUAUACCCAAUUAAACCAUUAGUAGAACACUCAAAUAAAAACACUAUUCAAUUUCUCAAAUUACUUCCCUUAUAAUUACUUUCAACUUUCACACUUUAGGAUGAUCUUUAAAUGACAAACUGCCCCUCUGUCUAUGCCUCUAUGGGAGUGCGUGGCUCAACUAUCUCUCAAUUUUGGUAACUUGUCUAGUCCACCGAAUUCGGAACCCAAUCUUGUGCCGCCAUUUCUUAACAAGCUCUCCAAAUGCAUUAAAGUGUCAAGUAUUUCAAUAACCAACUCUCUACAUUUGUUGGCAAUUUUCAAUGUAUUUAAUUCACUUUUUUUGACUUUUCAACACACAGGAUGUGGAGAAAAAUAAUUAUGUUUUCGUUCUAUUUUUUUCAAUAGUUAGUAUGAUAAUCAGCCAAAUAUAUACAACAUACCAUUCUAUAACUCUGAUACUUUGUAAUAUAUACCAAUCAAGCCCCAAGUCUAAGACUGUCUCAUAAAACUAUUAAAAAAUUUGAACCUAAUACUUCAACGCAUCACUAAAAUGUUUUUUAAAUUAGAUUUUAUUACUUUUUAACGAGUCAUAUCAAUCAAUAAAUUUUAAAAGACUUUUUAAGUGAGUUUUUUUUUUUUUAUUGAAGAGAGAGAAAAGUGCUAUCUCAUUUGAAGGGUUUUUUAAAAUCUUAAAUUUAUUCUACUGUUUCUCAUAAUUUCAUGAAGAGAAAGAAGUAUCAUAUUUGCUAUUGUUUUUGUAGAGAAAUUUUUUGAUUAAAAUAAUAUAUUUAUACUUUUAUUUAAAGAAUCUUUUAAUUUUUUUCCACUCUUUCAUUUACAAUAUAUAGUAAAUAAAUAUUUAAAAAAAUUAAAUUUAGAAGAAUAUUUUAGUGAUCUUCUUAGAUCUACUUAGUGUCUGUUUGGUAUAAUUUAUGUAAUGCUCAUAAGUAUUUAUUUAGUCUCAUAAAUUCUUAUCAUAAUUUUUAUUACUAUUUAUUUUUUUUAGAGAUUUUAUAGUUUAAAUAAGUUAUUUUAUUUCUACUAGUAAAAUCUCAAAUUAGGAGUAGAGAUUGAAAUUUUUUUAAAUAUUAAAAUAUUCUCUACUAAUUUGACUUUUUUUCAUAACAUAACUUUAAAAACUUACCUAUUAAAAUAAUUUCAUAAAUUUUUAAUAAAAAUUCUUAUUAACAAUCAACAACAAAAAUUUUUUAAGUAAAAAUUUUGUUAUCAAAAACUUUAUUUAAAUAAAUUUUAUUUAAAAAAUUAUAUUAAACGGAGCCUUACCCUCGCGAAUCGCGAUACCAUAACUAUUUUGAAGAAAUCGAAGAAUGGAAAGAAUUAAAAAGGCAAAACCGCGUUGUAAAGGAGGACGUGGAUCAACGUACCGAGGCCACUAAUGACAAAUAGCUACACCUUUUGAAGUAGACUCCCAACGUCUACCUAACCUAAACGGGUACAGAGACCUUUUGUUUUUUUUUUACAAUAGGUACAGUUACGUAUGACUGAAGAAAUAAAAAUAAUAAUAAAAAGCAUAGGGUAGAAGAAAACAAAGCUACCCAUUGGCUUCGUGUUGCAACUCUGCAACAGAAUGUCAAAUCGACAAUGAAAUUUCUUUGUCCAUUUUUCACGUGCACAACCAUAAAAAAGAAAAAAAAAUAUCAAAAUUAUAUGCAUAUGCUGGUGGGUCCCUUUUCAAAUUUGACAAGAGGAUUUUAAUUUCUUGUGAAAUUUGUGUUACUUCAAAUCAUUUUAUAGAAAUUAGGGAUGGCAAUGGGGAGGGGAGGGGAGAGGACCAAUCUCCCCGUAUCCAUCUCUGAUAUUUUGCGUAUCUCUCCGUCUCCUCCCCAUCCCCAUCAUAAUUACUUGAGAGAAUCUCAUUCUCCUCCCCGAAUAAUAACAUGGGGAUUCCCGAGGGUCCCCGAUCUCCGAAUAACUAAUACAUAUUUUUUAUUUUUUAUUUUUAGUUAAUUCUAUUAAAAUAAAAAAUUCAAACAAAAGUAAAGUUCGAAAUAUAUUUUACAUUAACAUUGAUUCAUUAUAAAAGUCACAUGCAAAAUACAAAUUAUCAAAAUAAUUAUCUUUAUCAAUCUUCAUAAUCCUACAAUAAAAAGAAAAAGAAUUUACUUUUAUAUCAACAAUAAAAUAAAUGAAAUAAAUGUAGAUACUUAAUUAAUAUUUUUAAUAAAACAAAAUUAAAAUUAAAACAAAAUUUUUGGGCUAAUAGAAUCUAAAACUUUAAUUAGUUAAUUAGGCCUAAAAGUUGAAUAAUAUAAAUAUUUUAAUAUUUGUUACUUUUACCAAUAUUUAUAAUUUUAUAAUAUAAUUCAAAUUUUAUUAUUUAUUUACUAGUAAUUUUAAAAAAUAAAAUAAAAUUAAAAAUUAAAAGAGGGAAAUGGGGAGGGGAUGGGGAUUCCACUUCAUCCCCACCCGUUCCCCGAAUAAGAAACUUGGUAAAAAAAAUUCCCCAUCCCUUCCCCGUAUAAGAAAUUGGGUAUAGAAUUAUCCACGUACCCUCCCCAAAUGGAAAAAAUCCCCGAGAGUACCCGCCUCCGUGGGGAUUUUUACCAUCCCUAAAAUUCCAUUGGCUUCGUGUUGCAACUCUGCAAUAGAAUGUCAAAUCGAGAUUGAAAUUUCUUUGUCCAUUUUUCACAUGCACAACCAUAAAAAAGAAAAAAAAAAUAUCACAAUUGUAUGUAUAUGCAGGUGGGUCCCUUUUCAAAUUUGACAAGAGGAUUUUAAUUUCUUGUGGAAUGUGUUACUUCAAAUCAUUUUAUAGAAAUUAGGGAUGGCAAUGGGGAGGGGAGGGGAGGGGACCAAUCUCCCCGUACUCAUCCCCGAUAUUUUACGUAUGUCCCCGUCCCCUCCCCAUCCCCGUCAUAAUUACUUGAGAGAAUCUUCAUCCCCUCUCCAAAUAAUAACAGGGGAUCCCCGAGGGUCCCCGAUCUCCGAAUAAUUAAUAUAUAUAUAUAUAUUAUUUUUUAUUUUGAGUUAAUUAUAUUAAAAUAAAAAAUUCAAACAAAAGUAAAGUUCGAAAUAUAUUUUACAUUAACAUUGAUCCAUUAUAAAAGUCACAUGCAAAAUACAAAUUAUCAAAAUAAUUAUCUUUGUCAAUCAUCAUAAUCCUACAAUAAAAAGAAAAAGAAUUUACUUUUUUAUCGACAAUAAAAUAAAUGAAAUAAAUGUAGAUACUUAAUUAAUAUUUUUAAUAAAACAAAAUUAAAAUUAAAACAAAAUUUUUAGACUAAUAGAAUCUACCCGACCUUUUUAAUGUCCUAAAUAAAAAUUUAAGACUUUAAUUAGUUAAUUAGGCCUAGAAGUUUAAUAAUAUAAAUAUUUUAAUAUUUGUUACUUUACCAAUAUUUAUAAUUUUAUAAUAUAAUUCAAAUUUUAUUAUUUAUUUACUAGUAAUUUUAAAAAAAUAAAAAUUAAAUUAAAUUUUAAAAUAAAAAUUAAAAUGGGGAAAUGAGGAGGGGAUGGGGAUUCCACCUCAUCCCCGCCCCUUCCCCGAAUAAGAAAUUGGGUAUAGAAUUAUCCCCGUACCCACCCCGAAUGGGAAAAAUCCCCGAGAGUACCCAUCCCCUAAUGGGAAAUUGGGUAUAGAAUUUAUUCUACUUUUUCUCAUAAUUUCAUGAAGAGAAAGAAGUAUCAUAUUUGCUAUUGUUUUUGUAGAGAAAUUUUUUUGAUUAAAAUAAUAUAUUUAUACUUUUAUUUAAAGAAUCUUUUAAUUUUUUUUCCACUCUUUCAUUUACAAUAUAUAAAAGUAAAUAAAUAUUUAAAGAAUUAAAUUUAGAAGAAUAUUUUAGUGAUCCUCUUAGAUUUACUUAGUGUCUGUUUGGUAUAAUUUAUGUAAUGCUCAUAAGUAUUUAUUUAGUCUCAUAAAUUCUUAUCAUAAUUUUUGUUACUGUUUAUUUUUUUUAGAGAUUUUACAGUUUAAAUAAGUUAUUUUAUUUCUACUAGUAAAAUCUCAAAUUAGGCGUAGAGAUUGAAUUUUUUUUUUAAAUAUUAAAAUAUCUAAAAUAUUCUCUACUUAUUUGAUAUUCUUUUCAUAACAUAACUUUAAAAACUUACCUAUUAAAAUAAUUUCAUAAAUUUUUAAUAAAUUUUUUUAUUAACAAUCAACAACAAAAAUUUUUUUAAAUAAAAAUUUUAUUUAUAAAAAUUUUGUUAUCGAAAACUUUAUUUAAAUAAAUUUUAUUUAAAAAAUUAUAUUAAACGGAGCCUUACCUCGCGAAUCGCGAUACCACAAUUAUUUUGAAGAAAUCGAAGAAUGGAAAGAAUUGAAAAGGCAAAACCGUGUUGUAAAAGAGGACGUGGAUCAACGUACCGAGGCCACUAAUGACAAAUAGCUACACCUUUUGAAGUAGACUCCCAGCGUCUACCUAACCUAAACGGGUACAGAGACCUUUUGUUUUUUUUUUUUUACAAUAGGUACAGUUACGUAUGACUGAAGAAAUAAAAAAAAAAAAAAUGAAAAGCAUAGGGUAGAAGAAAACAAAGCUACCCAUUGGCUUCGUGUUGCAACUCUGCAACAGAAUGUCAAAUCGACAAUGAAAUUUCUUUGUCCAUUUUUCACAUGCACAGCCAUAAAAAAGAAAAAAAUAUAUCACAAUUGUAUGUAUAUGUUGGUGGGUCCCUUUUCAAUUUUGACAAGAGGAUUUUAAUUUUUUGUGAAAUUUGUAUUACUUCAAAUCAUUUUAUAGAAAUUAGGGAUGGCAAUGGGGAGGGGAGGGGAGGGGAGGGGACCAAUCUCUCCGUAUCUAUCCCUGAUUUUUUUCGUAUGUCACCGUCCCCUCCCCAUCCUCAUCAUAAUUACUUGAGAGAAUCUCCUUUCUCUUCCCGAAUAAUAACAUAGGGAUUCCCGAGGGUCCCCGAUCCCCGAUCCCCGAAUAACUAAUACAUAUUUUUUAUUUUUUAUUUUUAGUUAAUUCUAUUAAAAUAAAAAAUUCAAACAAAAGUAAAGUUCGAAAUAUAUUUUACAUUAACAUUGAUCCAUUAUAAAAGUCACAUGCAAAAUACAAAUUAUCAAAAUAAUUAUUUUUGUCAAUCUUCAUAAUCCUACAAUAAAAAGAAAAAGAAUUUACUUUUAUAUCGACAAUAAAAUAAAUGAAAUAAAUGUAGAUACUUAAUUAAUAUUUUUAAUAAAAUAAAAUUAAUAUUAAAACAAAAUUUUUGGGCUAAUAGAAUCUAUCCGACCUUUUUAAUGUCUUAAAUAAAACUUUAGGACUUUAAUUAGUUAAUUAGGCCUAGAAGUUUAAUAAUAUAAAUAUUUUAAUAUUUGUUACUUUUACCAAUAGUUAUAAUUUUAUAAUAUAAUUCAAAUUUUAUUAUUUAUUUACUAGUAAUUUUAAAAAAUAAAAAUAAAAUUAAAAAUUAAAAUGGGGAAAUGAGGAGGGGAUGGGGAUUCCACCUCAUCCCCGCUCCUUCCCCGAAUAAGAAAUUGGGUAAAAAAAUUUUCACAUCCCUUCCCCGAAUAAGAAAUUGGGUAUAGAAUUAUCCUCGUACUCUCCCCGAAUGGAAAAAAUUCCCGAGAGUACCCGUCACCGAAUAAGAAAUUGAGUAUAGAAUUUAUUCUACUUUUUCUCAUAAUUUCAUGAAGAGAAAGAAGUAUCAUAUUUGCUAUUAUUUUUGUCGAGAAAUUUUUUUUGAUUAAAAUAAUAUAUUUAUACUUUUAUUUAAAGAAUCUUUUAAUUUUUUUCCACUCUUUCAUUUACAAUAUAUAAAAGUAAAUAAAUAUUUAAAGAAUUAAAUUUAGAAGAAUAUUUUAGUGAUCCUCUUAGAUUUACUUAGUGUCUGUUUGGUAUAAUUUAUGUAAUUUUCAUAAGUAUUUAUUUAAUUUCAUAAAUUCUUAUCAUAAUUUUUGUUACUGUUUAUUUUUUUUAGAGAUUUUACAGUUUAAAUAAGUUAUUUUAUUUCUACUAGUAAAAUCUCAAAUUAGGAGUAGAGAUUGAAUUUUUUUUAAAUAUUAAAAUAUCUAAAAUAUUCCGUACUUAUUUGACAUUCUUUUCAUAACAUAACUUUAAAAAUUUACCGAUUAAAAUAAUUUUAUAAAUUUUUAAUAAAUUUUUUUAUUAACAAUCAACAACUAAAAUUUUUUAAGUAAAAAUUUUAUUUAUAAAAAUUUUGUUAUCGAAAACUUUAUUUAAAUAAAUUUUAUUUAAAAAAUUAUAUUAAACGGAGUCUUACCUCGCGAAUCGUGAUACCACAACUAUUUUGAAGAAAUCGAAGAAUGGAAAGAAUUGAAAAGGCAAAACCGCAUUGUAAAAGAGGACGUGGAUCAACGUACCGAGGCCACUAAUGACAAAUAACUACACAUUUUGAAGUAGACUCUCAGUAUCUACCUAACCUAAACAGGUACAAAAAUCUUUUAUUUUUUUGAUCUCACUACGUUACGUUUAACAUAACAUACAUUCACACACAACAACAAUUUUCAUAAUAAGAUCCAUAACUAUUACUAUAUGUGACAAUUAUUACUAUGUGUGACGUAGCCUUAUUUUUUUUAACAAUAGGUGCAGAUACGUACGAAUGCAUUAAUUAAUGAAAAGCAGAGGGUAGAAGAAAACAAAGCUACGUCGGCAGACACGUUGCAGUAGGGAUUCUGGAAUGCAUUAAUUAAGGGGCCUUAAGUAUUCAAUAGUCAAAGAAAUGAGAAGGCAGAGCGUAGAAGAAAACAAAGCCACGUCGCCAGACACGUUGCUGAAGGGAUUAUGGAAUGCAUUAAUUAAGGGGUCUUAAAUAUUAAGUAGUGACAUCCUUUUUGUGUUUUUCCAUAAGAAGAUGCUGGAAUGCAUUAAUUAAGAGGCCCACUGUGAUUAAUUCAUAACUACUAGUAAUUUGUUUGUAUUCGAGUUGCUCCUUUGUAUAACUAGACGUGAAAAUGAGUGAUUGGUGGGGCGGUGGAGUCGAGGGUGCUAAGAGCAACAAAAACAAAUUCUGAAGCAAUUGUUCUGACUCUUGAGUGCUUAUAUUUAUUUCAUUAAUCUCGGAAGAUAUGGCGUCUCAUAAGGUGCCUGGUAAUCGCAAAUUGAUAGGUUCUAAAUCAGAAUACUAUUUUAUGCUUUAUGCAGGUACUGAAGAAGUGAAGAGCUACGACCGGAUUGAUUUUGGUAUGUUUGGUCGGAGUUGGGCUCCCAUUGUUUCUUGGGCCGUGAUAGUUGUUCCCCACGAGCCGGAGAGUAAUUGGAGAAAAAAUUUACCUCCUCCAAGUGUCAAUAAUAUGGACCCCGCUAGCUCGCUUUGUGUUAUUACAUCUGGUUCUUCUAAUGGUUAUAAGCCUAUAGGUGAUGAUAAAAAGGAUCGUCCUUUUCAUGGCGUUAGAACUACAGUUCCAUUGAACAAAUUGAAAUAUGAUCGUGAAGUGUUGCGCGGAGGUUCUCUUGUUUUGGAGAUUAAUCUUUUAGAGGUUUUUCACGGAGGAGAUGUUGUGGAUUCUGAUCAUACUUUUGAUGGUCAAGUGUUUUGGAACUUGUACUCGAAUUGAAUAUUGUACGGUGAGAUAAGUUGAUGUGUGUAUUAAUGGUAUUAUCUAAUAUAAACAUAGGAUUGGACAUAUAGUUGUGUCAAUGUAUUGUGUAAUUUAACUACCUCUAGAUAAUAUUAUCGUUUGUGUAAUGAUUGUAAUUGAUGUUUUGUUGGAGGAUCCUUUAGUAUGCUUAUAAAAAGGAUUCAAGUGUGUUGUAA